rnacentral:rRNA from 1 species
CAGUAGCCGCGGUAAUACGAAGGGGGCUAGCGUUGUUCGGAAUUACUGGGCGUAAAGCGCACGUAGGCGGAUCGAUCAGUCAGGGGUGAAAUCCCAGGGCUCAACCCUGGAACUGCCUUUGAUACUGUCGAUCUGGAGUAUGGAAGAGGUGAGUGGAAUUCCGAGUGUAGAGGUGAAAUUCGUAGAUAUUCGGAGGAACACCAGUGGCGAAGGCGGCUCACUGGUCCAUUACUGACGCUGAGGUGCGAAAGCGUGGGGAGCAAACAGGAUUAGAUACCCCGGUAGUCCCUGUCUCUUAUAU